AGAAAAAUGAUAUAUAAGUAUUACUUGUAAAUAUAUAAGUAUAUAAAGAAACUAUUAUGGAAUUUAAGCUAUGUAUUAAAGAGAAUUAUUUAUAUAUAUAGAGAUAUAAUAUCCUAUAAUUAUAUGAACUCUAAGAGAAAUCUAAUAUUAAACGAAGUGAAUUGAAAUAUCUUAGUAACUUUAGGAAAAGAAAUCAAAAGAGAUUCUAUGAAUAGCGUGAGCGAAAGUAGAGUAGCCUAUAAAGUAGAACGGUCUCAAAACUGUUUAAAUAUAAUGGGGAACCUUCCUCAAAGGCUAAAUAUAAUACAUAAGCGAUAGUGAAAAGUACCAUGAGGGAACAAAAACAAAAAUAGUAGUUUUAUAAGCAGUUCGAUAAAAAGAACGUACCUUUUGCAUAAUGGGUCACCAAGUUAACGUUAGAUGCGAGUAUACGCGUAGUUAAACCGAACGUUAAAAUAACGAAAUAGUGUCUAAAGUUAGACCCGAAGCACGGUGAUUUUACCAUGGUCAGGAUUAUAAAAGUCCGAACGGGUGAUUGUAGCAAAAAUCUCCGAAGAACUGUGGUAGGUGUAGUGAAAGACAACACUGACUGUGAUAGCUGGUUUUCUGCGAAACCUAUAAUAGUAGGCAAUUUAAGUAAAUAUCUUAGCAGGUACAGAAUUUAAUCUCAGACAAGGCGUGUAAACGUUUUAUAUUGUAUAAAUUGGGGAAUCAUGAAGAUUUUAUCAGUGAGUAUGUAGACUCGGAAUGGCAAAGAUAUGUCUUAAAUUAUCAGACAUAGAAUGAUAAGGUUGUAUGUCGAAAGGGAAACAGCCCAGAACAAGAGUUAAGGUUCCUAAAUUAUUAGUUAAGUGAAAUUAAGAAGGUUUUUAUUAAAGUCGACAAGGAGAUAGGCUUAGAAGCAGCCAUAAUUUUAUGACCUCGUAACAGAGCGCUUGUUAAGUUAUAAAAGCAUCGAAAAUUUAACGGAUCUAAACAAUAUACCGAAACCUUGUCCAUAAUAUAUUAUAUUAAUUAUUUUUAAUGUAAUUUAAUGGGGUAGCAGAACGUUGAGCUAGAUUAUGAUUUCUAUUUUUUAAAUAGAAUUAUAUUAAUUUAACUCAAGUGAGAAUGGUGACAUGAGUAACGAAAAGAAAAUUUUCCGCCUUAAGCUUAUGGAUAUAAUUAAGUAACGGCCUCUAAGUUUAUAUUAUCUAAAGAUUUAAACGAUGAGAAAAUCUUUUUUACUAAGGACAACAUUUUAGUGUAAAAUGUGCUGGAAAAAUAGUAAAUAUAUUUGUUAUUUAUAACAAAUGAACAAUAACCGUACCUAGAAUCUGAAACAAGUAAGCUAGUAGAGAAUACGAAGGCGUAAAUGAGCUAACAAUCAUAAAGGAACUCGGCAAAUUGACUACCGUAACUUCGGAAUAAGGAGGGCUCAUUAUUCUUGAUUAAUAUCAAGUAAAGAGGAAGAAGCAUGAAAUAAUGUUGUACGACUGUUUAAUUAAAACACAGCACUUUGCUGAAAGAUUAAAAAUCUAUGUAUAAAGUGUGAUAUCUGCCCGGUGCCGGCUGGUUAACAGAGAUAAUUGAAUAUACUACUAUUUGAUGUCGACGGAAACCCCGGUUAAAGGCGGCCUUAACGUGAGGGUCCUAAGGUAGCGAAAUGCCUUGGCCGUUAAAUGCGGUCUUGCAUGAAUGGUGUAACGAUACAACAGCUGUCUCUAUGAUUGACUCAGUGAAAUUGGAAUAGCUGUGCAGAUACAGCUUACCUCUAGUUAGACGAGAAGACCCUAUGCAGCUUUACUGUCACUAAUUAUAGAGUAUGAUAGACAAUUUUCAGAAUAUAAGGUAAUUGACAAUAUGACAAUGAGAAUCCUUUAUUUUUCUUUCAUAUGAAUGAAUUGGUUUAGGAUUAUGAGUAGAUUGUAAUUAAUGUGGCUUAUUACUGAGUCAUUAAAAAACAUUAAUUAUAGUCUUUAAAUUAUUAUAUAGCUCAUUUUAGUAAAUCAGCCUAAUUCAACUUAUUAUUUUAGAAUAGUAAGUACCCUUUGGCAAGGAACUAUCGCUAGGGGACAGUUUAUGUGGGGCACAGACCCUGUAAAGAGUAAACAGGAGUGUCUAAUAAUUAUAAAUUAUUUUGUUUGCUAUUUUGAGUAGUUUAACUAUUUUUAAUCAUAUAUAAUUAUUUAUAUUUGCAUUUAUUGUAAAUAUAUUUAAGUUUAGGUAGGAUUUUUACUAUAUAGAAAUUAGAGAUAAUUGAAAACAUUACGAAUUAUUUCUAAUGUUUUCUAGCUAUCAUUUUUGAUAGUUAUGUAUUUAAUAUCUAAAAAGCUCAACGGCUAAAUCUUGCCUUACUGUUUGAUUAUCUACAAAUCUUACAGUUGCGUAAGCAGGGCAUAGGAUCACAAGAUGCAAUAAGGAAAGAUCUUGGAUUAUUGGAAAAGCUACGCUAGGGAUAACAGGCUAAUUUGCGCAAGAGUGUACAAAAUGAGUGCGCGGUUUGGCACCUCGAUGUCGGCUUAACUUAUCCUCAUGGACGCAGGAACUAUGUAGGGUGCGACUGUUCGUCGAUUAAAAAGUUACAUGAGCUGGGUUAAAUACGUCGUGAGACAGUAUGGUUUCUAUCUUCUAGGGGGAAUUAGAAUAAAAUAAGAACGAACUUUUGUACGCAAGGAACAAGAAGAGUUUAGCCCGUAAAAAAGGUUAAAAUAUAGUUACUAACCUAUGGUUUACCUGUUGUUUAUGUGCCCAAAUAUUAAAUAUAUAUGCUAUUGUAUAUAUAUAUAUGUAUUAUUAUAAUACAUAGGGAUGUUUCUCUCACUAAGAUAAAUGUAUAGCAUAAGCACGGCAGGAACGCUAAGUUGGUUAAGGAUAAGUGCUGAAAGCAUAUAGGCACGAAGCUUAUCUUAAGAUAUUUCUUAAAUAUACGUAAUAUACUAUUACGAAAUUUAUAGGCUUUAUCCGUACGAAUCUAGAGAUUUUAAAGAAUAAAGUACUAAUUUAAUAAUUCACUAUUUAUAAAUAUAUCA
rnacentral:rRNA from 1 species